UAAUACAUUUGAACCUACUCAAGAUAUUCAAUGGAAUCAAAGCUGGAACUCGAACGUAAAAAGUAUAGAGAACAUUCCAACUCUGUCAAAUGGAGAUUCAAACAACAAAGCAAGACUAGUAAAAUAAUUUGUAGCUUUGUAAAUUUAUAGCAAGUUUAAAAAAGUGUUUUUUUAGGAUUUGGUAAGAAAUAAAGAAUAUGCUGCAUCAAGAGUUAAAAAAGAACCAGAAGAAAAGGAAUAUGAAGGAGAUUGUGAGAGUCGCAAUCGAUACCGUAAAAGAGAUCGAAAGAGGGAUCGUGAACGUGAUAGGAAACGUAGCAGACAUAGAGAAAGGUUAGUUUUUAUUUAUUUUUGAUAUUAUUACCAAUAAUAAUGUAGAUAUUAAACUUAAUGUUGUUUAAAGUAUCUUUGUUUUAUUUAAAAUAAAAUUAUCUUUAUUUAUUUUAACAAAUUAACAGUGAUAGUGUUGAAAGUCAAGAAACAAGUUAUAAAGAAGAGAGAGAAUAUAAACACAAGUAAUUCCAAUUGUAUUAUUUAAUCAGUUUUGAUAAGCUUUUUUUUAUUUAGGACAGUUAAACAAACAUACAUUUUUUAUCAGGUCUCAUUGUCAUCGCUCUCAAAGUUAUAGUCACAAGGGGCGUUCUAAGAAACAUAAGUCUCAUAGUAGAAGUGAGUCUAGGCGUCAUCACAAAAAGAAGAAAAAGAAGAAAAAGUACCCUGAGAAGAAUAGGGAAAAUGAUAACAGUGAAUAGUUACUCUUAAUUUCAUUGAAUUGUUAAUGGUAAAUGGUAAUUUAAUGGUAAUUGCAACUAAUUUUGUAUUGAACUAAUGUUACAUGAAGUACACAU